UUCCGUAGGUGAACCUGCGGAAGGAUCAUUGUCGAAACCUGCCCAGCAGAAACAACCCGCGAACCAGUGGAAAAAAAUUACACGCGGAGCGGGGGUGCGUUAGCUCCCCGCUCGCGACGUCGCGGGGGUUUCGGUCGGCUUCUCGUUCGCGAGCGUCGUUCCGUUCCCCCCGCGGCACAACAACGAACCCCGGCGCGGAUUGCGCCAAGGAAAAUCCUAACGAGAGAGCUCGCUCCCGUCGCCCCGGAGACGGUGUGCGUACGGGCAGCGGCGCCUUCUUUCACAAAUCCAAAACGACUCUCGGCAACGGAUAUCUAGGCUCUCGCAUCGAUGAAGAACGUAGCGAAAUGCGAUACUUGGUGUGAAUUGCAGAAUCCCGUGAACCAUCGAGUCUUUGAACGCAAGUUGCGCCCCAAGCCAUUAGGCCGAGGGCACGUCUGCCUGGGUGUCACGCAUCGUUGCCCCCCCACCCCCCGCACCACGGGGAGGAACACGGGCGGGGCGGAUAAUGGCCUCCCGUGUGCCGSUCGGCUCGCGGUUGGCCCAAAUCCGAGUCCUCGGCUUCGCGUGCCGCGACUUUCGGUGGUCGAAAAAAACCUCGAUGUCCCGUCGCACCCGCGUCGUCGUAAAACGGACUCCCUGACCCUGACGCGUCGCCAGGACGCCACGCUCGCUUCGCGA
rnacentral:rRNA from 1 species